UAAUGGGUGAAUCCUCAUUCUGCAUUGGCUACGUAGUUAUGGGGGUAUAGGGAUUAAUACUAACGUCUCUUCCUAAAUAAUGGGGAAUUCGCCAUCCCUGCCCUCACUCGGUGCUGAAUCCUGCUCACAACUGAAUAGACACUGAACUAAUUCUUAGACUGUACUAAACAGAGCUGAAUCUGUUACUGUUCAUGUUUCUUGACUGAUAUGACUGAAUUCACUUG
rnacentral:lncRNA from 1 species